rnacentral:rRNA from 1 species
UACGUAGGCAGCGAGCGUUGUUCGGAGUUACUGGGGCGUAAAGGGUGUGUAGGCGGUUCUUUUAAGUUUGGUGUGAAAUCUCCCGGCUCAACCGGGAGGGUGCGCCGAAUACUGAGGGACUAGAGUGCGGGAGAGGAAAGUGGAAUCCUGGUGUAGCGGUGAAAUGCGCAGAUAUCGGGAAGAACACCCGUGGCGAAGGCGGUUCUCUGGGACGGUACUGACGCUGAGACGCGAAAGCGUGGGGAGCGAACAGG